rnacentral:rRNA from 1 species
GUAGGUGGCAAGCGUUGUCCGGAAUUAUUGGGCGUAAAGCGCGCGCAGGCGGUCCUUUAAGUCUGAUGUGAAAGCCCACGGGCUCAACCGUGGAGGGUCAUUGGAAACUGGGGGACUUGAGUACAGAAGAGGAAAGCGGAAUUCCAAGUGUAGCGGUGAAAUGCGUAGAGAUUUGGAGGAACACCAGUGGCGAAGGCGGCUUUCUGGUCUGUAACUGACGCUGAGGCGCGAAAGCGUGGGGAGCAAACAGGAUUAGAUACCCUGGUAGUCCACGCCGUAAACGAUGAGUGCUAAGUGUUAGGGGGUUUCCGCUCCUUAGUGCUGCAGCUAACGCAUUAAGCACUCCGCCUGGGGAGUACGGCCGCAAAGGCUG